GUCACCUUACUGCAACAAGGUUGUGGGUAGGGUUGCCAACUUCCUGAAAAAUAAAUAAGGGACACCUCGUGGCCAGGGCCAGGCGACCCAGUUGUCUUCACCCUUCCCAGUGUGAUUCUAGAUCAGCCAUAGGUGUGGACAUGAGAGUAAGGAGUUCUCUCUUUUGGCUGGACCUGAUAGACUGGCAACAUGUCAAGGGUCACCCUGCUCUCACCCAAUGGCUGCUGAGGUAGAUCCAGAUCAAAGCAGCCGAGAAACUGAAGUAAUUCCACCAGCUACUUGAGGUAAUUCGGCUGUCUUGUAAGGAUGCUUCCUGUGCGUCUCCUGCAUGAGUUGCUUCGGGCAUAUUCCACCAGAAGGAAGCCCCAGGGCAGACCCAGGAUAGCUGGAACCCCCAGGCCUCGAGUUUGACACGUAUACAAAAGGAACAUUGUCACUUCAGGGGUCAAGCAGGUAUUUCUUUUAAUUUCCAUAGUGCACGCCCAUAUAUAUGAGGAGGAUAGAAAGAUCUACAUAAAUUCGUUAUAUUUUCUUGAGAACAUCAAGACCGUCAACAUCAAGAUCUCCCAGUUUUUCUCAUUUCAUUUUGAUAUGCAUUUGCAAAGAUACGACACAAAAGAUCCUACCUCACAAUAGUAAAGCUCGUAAAUUCUUCCAAAAAUUCCUGGAUCUGUUCCAAAGACAAUUCCUUUGACGCUGGGCCUCUAAAAACCUCACCUUUCAUUACGUAUUUCUUCAGAUCUGUCCCUAACUUAUUGAGUAAUUCUGUAAACAUGCAUUAUGGAGACAAUAAAUAUUAAAGCACUCCUUUGACAUUUAUCAUCUUGUUCUUACAUCACUGUUUAAAACUCAAGGCGCUCUGUGCAAUCA